rnacentral:rRNA from 1 species
AUGGAGGUCACCAUUUCUGCGGUUACUAGUGAACUUGUCAGCCGGUUCAUCUCCUUCCUGAUGAACAAGUAUCAGUCGCAUAGCCACACACAACUAGAUGAGGAGAAGUUGGUGGAGAAGCUUCAGCAUCUCCUGAUUAGAGCUCGCACCGUCAUCGAGGAGGCGGAUCGGCGAUGCAUCGCCAACUCCGGGAUGCUGAUGCAGCUCAAGAUGCUCACAGAGGCCAUGUACCGAGGCCAUCAUGUACUGGACGCCUUCAAUUUCCAACAACUACUACUUGACGGCAGUAUCAUCGACGAGGUUAGCGACUCAUCCAGCGUCUCAUAUUUGUCCUUCCCUUUCAAGCGUCCUCGAAGAACCACGUCCUUCCCUUUCAAGCGUCCUCGAAGAACCACGUCCAAACGGAAGGGCAGAUCCAUUCACCUGGAGUUACACGGUGCCUUGAAAAGCUUAGAAAUUGUUGUCGCAAACAUGGCAGAAUUUGUUGUGCUUCUGGGCGGAUGCGAGCGGAUGUCUCGUAGGCCUUAUGAUGCCUACCUUUACACAGACCACUUCAUGCUCGGUCGGCACGUAGAGAAGCAGCACCUCUUGAGCUUCUUACUGCAACAUGACCCUCCGGGUAAUUCUCCGGCCGUGCCACCGAUCAUUGGUGGCGUCGCGGUCGGAAAGAAAACGCUGGUUGCUCAUGUCUGCGACGACGAGAUGGUCCGCUCGCAUUUCGCUUCAAUUUUGCACUUGAAUGGAGAUAGUCUCCUGAGAAUCAUUGAGCAUGGAAGGACCAUGUUAGGGAGUAGAUUUUUGGUGGUUGUUGAGUUUGUUUCAGAUGUAGAUGAGGAGGACUGGACAAAGUUUUACUCCUUUGUAAAAAGAAUGGGCAAGGGAAGCAGGGUGAUCAUCAUAAGUAAGCUUCAAAGGCUAGCCAGAUUUGGAACAGUGAAGCCAAUUUAUCUCAGUAACCUCUCCUAUGAGGAGUUUUGGUACCUCUUCAAGACACUCACGUUUGGCAGUGCAGAUCCGUCAGAGCACCCGCAGCUAGUGCGAAUUGCGGAAGAAUUUGCAAAGAUCUUUCAGCCGGGAGGGUCACUCGUCACGACAAAUGCGUUCGCAAAUGUGUUGAGAAGGAAUCUGGAUGUUCAAUUCUGGCUUUGCGUGUUGGGCAAAACAAGACGAGUGAUUCAGAAGAACCUAUCCGAGCACGGUGUAUAUCCAUAUUUGCUCUUUGAACAAGGUCAUCCGGUGGACAUAACCGACUUUGCUUUGCAUCCAUUGUCUGCAGUUCGCAUCGCUAACUGUACUAAUGGCAGCAACAGAUUGACUAAUAAUGCUCAGAUGAAGAAGGAAACAGUGACACUUGUAGAACUGCUGGUAAACCCGAAUAACAGACCAAAAGGCGAGUUCAGUCUGUUGGCAUGGGAAUCAAGGAUACCCCCUUACACAAGGUUCGAACACUUUGUUGCAAGUUCUGUUCAAGGUCUACCUGAAGGUGUUAACUUGUCCGGGAGGAAGAAACGUCGAGUGCCUAUCUGA